AAGAUAAGAAACACUUUAUGAUGAGGACUUACUAAGACAUUUCUCACCAACGAAAUGGUGGCUUUGUAUUCUUAUCUUCAUGCAAUUUAACAUGAAACUUUCAUCUGCAUUUUUUCUCGGAAACUUUCUUUCAAUCUUCUUUCUGCGUCUAUGUCCUUCGAUUCACUUUCAGUUUUAGUUGUUGUGCCUCUGUGACCUUUUUCCCUUUUGGUGAGCACAGUUGUUCUCUGGUUGAUGCACUUAUUUUCCCCUCUUUAUUUCUCUGCUCUGCUUGAUUACUAUACUCACGUUCUGUCAUCAUGUUCCACUCUUAUUCCCCUCUUGUUUGCAUUUGAACUUAUUUCGGGGUAUUUGGUCUUCUUUUGCGCUUCACCAAACAAUACCUCUUUGAAAAUUUCAAUUGCGAGACAUGCUCUGUAAUUUCAAAAUUUUGCUACGGAUUUGGGUCAAUUUGUAAUAGAUAAUUGGAGAUAGAAACUACAUUGAAGCAGAUGCAUUCUCAGAACAAAAACAGUUCUUCCUAUUUGGCAGAACGAAACGCAUAAAUGAAUUUCAGAUAGCAUGAGACGUAUAAGCAAAUGGAAUCCACUAAAAAACAUGCUCUACUACCAAAACACCGACUACGAGCAAAAAAUCCACUGCAUCUGCAUUGUCAUCUGAAAUAGGUGUAUGUAAACAAACAUUGUUAUGGGUUUUACGGAGUUUCCCAACGUCUCCCUCUAACUCUGGAAAUUUUGAGUCUUCCGAUCGACUUAGCUCCGCAUCUUUAUAGUCAUGCUGCUGACUUGGCUUGCUUUCCUCUAGCUGUUGUAAUCUUUUACCCAUACUAUCCAUCUGUAAAGAUAGAGUAGUAAGGAUUGCAAAUAAAUCUUUUGUUUCUUGUC